GAUUAUCUGUUUGAUUGUCUUGCCCAUUGGAUAACCGUGGGAAAUCUAGAGCUAAUACAUGCAGUUUAUUGGCAUAGUUGAAAGACUAUGUCAAAGCAUUUAUUAGACUUAACCAACUACUGUACGCAAGUAUGGUAAGGCGAAUCUAGAUAACUUUGCUGAUCGUAUGGCCCUGUGCCGACGACGUUUCAAUUGAGUUUCUGCCCUAUCAAUUUGUUGGUAAGGUAUUGGCUUACCAAGGUUGCAACGGGUAACGGGGAAUCAGGGUUCGAUUCCGGAGAGGGAGCCUGAGAAACGGCUACCACAUCCAAGGAAGGCAGCAGGCGCGCAAAUUACCCAAUCUAGACAGUAGGAGGUGGUGAAGAGAAGUACUUAGUGGUGGCCUUAAUGGUCCCAACUAGGAAUGAACGUAAUUUAAGCAAUUCGAUGAGUAACUACUGGAGGGCAAGUCCUGGUGCCAGCAGCCGCGGUAAUUCCAGCUCCAGUGGCGUGAUUUAAAGUUGCUGCGUUUAAAACGCUCGUAGUUGGAUCAUGCAAUAACAUGUAGUAACACUGGUUGGUAAAUUUGACGAUUCUCUUCGGAUUAUUGGAUAAUUAUUGACCAGUGUGUUCAUGCUACAUGUUAUUAUUUGCACACAAGUAUGAUAUUUGGGCUUAAGUGAUUCGAGUAUCAUGUCUUGUGGAGUGUGCCUUGAAUAAAACAGAGUGCUCAAAGCAGGCGAACGCUUGAAUGUUGUAGCAUGGAACGAACAAACGUGUAUUUGUGUAUAUUUGAACGGUCGGUGGAAACACUGACUGUUUGGGUAUAUGCAGCACCCGCCGAAAUGCGAAUGUUGGUUUUCGUAUCAGGUGAUGAUUAAAAGAAGCGGUUGGGGGCAUUGGUAUUUGGCCGCGAGAGGUGAAAUUCUUGGACCGGCCAAGGACUAACAGAUGCGAAGGCGUUUGUCUAGACCGUUUUCAUUAAUCAAGAACGAAAGUGGGAGGUUCGAAGACGAUCAGAUACCGUCCUAGUUCCCACUAUAAACUAUGCCGACCUGGGAUCAGUUUAGUGAUUAACAAGCUCUAGGUUGGUCCCCCUGGGAAACCUCAAGUUUUUCGGUUACGGGGAGAGUAUGGUCGCAAGUCUGAAACUUAAAGGAAUUGACGGAAGGGCACCACCAGGGGUGGAACCUGCGGCUUAAUUUGACUCAACACGGGGAAACUUACCUGGUCCGGACAUCGAAAGGAUAGACAGACUGAUAGAUCUUUCUUGAUGCGGUGAGUGGUGGUGCAUGGCCGUUCUUAGUUCGUGGAGUGAUCUGUCAGGUUAAUUCCGGUAACGAACGAGACCACUAUCUUCAUUUGAGAAACAGUAGUAAGGAGUUGGCUCAUUGUUGUUUCGGCAGCUCUGGAUUGGCUUUUGAAGGUAGAAUUAUUGAAUUUUAUAAAAGGAGCAUUCUGGGUCCAACUCGGGGUGUGAUGUUUAUGAAAGGAUAUGGUUUUCCCUACUGUUAUGCAGUGUUAGGCAAAACCUUUACGCUGCCUCAUGGAGAGACAACAGGUUUAUAAAAGCCUGAGGAAGUGUGGCUAUAACAGG
rnacentral:rRNA from 1 species